GAUGAACGCUGGCGGCGUGCCUAGUACAUGCAAGUCGAGCGAACCGAUUAAGAGCUUGCUCUUAAGAAGUUAGCGGCGGACGGGUGAGUAACACGUAGGUAACCUGCCUAUAAGACUGGGAUAACUCCGGGAAACCGGGGCUAAUACCGGAUAACAUUUUGCACUGCAUGGUGCGAAAUUGAAAGGCGGCUUCGGCUGUCACUUAUAGAUGGACCUGCGGCGCAUUAGCUAGUUGGUGAGGUAACGGCUCACCAAGGCGACGAUGCGUAGCCGACCUGAGAGGGUGAUCGGCCACACGGGGACGGAGACAGGGCCCAGGCUCCUACGGGAGGCAGCAUUAGGGAAUCUUCCGCAAUGGACGAAAGUGUGACGGAGCAACGCCGCGUGAGCGGUGAAGGCCUUCGGGUCGUAAAGCUCUGUUGUUAGGGAAGAACAAGUGCUAGUUGAAUAAGCUGGCACCUUGACGGUACCUAACCAGAAAGCCACGGCUAACUACGUGCCAGCAGCCGCAGUAA
rnacentral:rRNA from 1 species